rnacentral:rRNA from 1 species
AACGAACGCUGGCGGCAUGCCUAACACAUGCAAGUCGAACGAAGGCUUCGGCCUUAGUGGCGCACGGGUGCGUAACGCGUGGGAAUCUGCCCCUCGGUUCGGAAUAACAGUUAGAAAUGACUGCUAGUACCGGAUGAUGACUUCGGUCCAAAGAUUUAUCGCCGAGGGAUGAGCCCGCGUAAGAUUAGGUAGUCGGUGGGGUAAAGGCCUACCAAGCCGACGAUCUUUAGCUGGUCUGAGAGGAUGAUCAGCCACACUGGGACUGAGACACGGCCCAGACUCCUACGGGAGGCAGCAGUGGGGAAUAUUGGACAAUGGGCGAAAGCUUGAUCCAGCAAUGCCGCGUGAGUGAUGAAGGCCUUAGGGUUGUAAAGCUCUUUUACCAGGGAUGAUAAUGACAGUACCUGGAGAAUAAGCUCCGGCUAACUCCGUGCCAGCCGCCGCAGUAA